CUCCCCCACAUACCGACGCGGGCCCGUGAACACGACUCACGUCUCUCUCUCCACACCACCCUGCUCUUUCUUUGACUUUAUAUCGCUCUAAUGGAUGGAGUGCGGGGAGGCGAUCCGAUGACGCCGGCGGUCGGAUGCUUGGAAACCACUCCGGCGGACGGGGAUAGCCGGAUGACAGAUCCUACCCCGACGCCGGCGAUCCAUUAUUCGCAGGCAGACAGAUCCAUGGUGGAGCAUCGGAGGCGGAUCUAAUGGGGCAUUCAAUCAUCCCAAAUAAUGAGCAUAUCCCAGAUGCGGCGACAGACCCCAAGGCACACACUGGAUUAAUAACGCCUCCGCCACAUUGAGGGGCGUGAAUACAUGUGCAUACGGCCCAGCUCUUAAUCCAGAUGUACCUACCGAUGAUUCUGAAAACAUUAUAGUUGUGCCUGGAUGGAAGAAAAGGUAAUUAUCCGUUGGCACAAGACAAAAUUACUACUUUUAUUGUCUAUUUGUAUGAAUCGGCAUGAAGAUUUACAGGUGUUAAAGAAGUCUGUCCUGAACAUUUUAAGUCUGUCCUGGACAUUUUUCUCUACCCCAUUCGUUCCAUAUUAAAGGAUUGUUUUUUAAUACCACGUUAGUGUUUCAGAAAUGGAUGUUAAUGUUCGUGAAAAAUUUAUUAUUUAUUAACAAUGUACAGUUAGUACUUAGUAGAGAUAUAUUAAUGUCUGCAACACUAGUUCAUGCUGUCUGUGUGAAAAUCACAAUGCGUGCAUUGUUUCCCAACUGUCCCAAGGAGAUAUUCACAGAAUCUGGAGCAUGUAUGCAUCUGUAAGACUCCAGUAAGUACGAAUACACGUGGACGUAUAAGAUAUGGUGUAUAUCUGCCUCCCUUGCGGUGAUGAAUUUUUUUUCGUGGAUGUUGAGAGGGAUGGCAUAAAGCAAACCCCACUUCCUUAUAUAGGUAAGAGUAACCCAUCGAAUCAGCAGCGAGUCUGUUAUCCCGAGAUGAGACAGAUGAUCAGACGUGAUUUCACCCCUUUGGAAGAUAUAUGUUGCCUUUUUGUACACAAGAUGACUGCUGUUGACAUUAGAGACGGCUACAUGAGAAUUCCGAAGAAGGACGUUGAUCUUAUUUAAAGCAAAACGAGUCACAUGGGUGACUCAAGGCGUAUUCUGCUGCAUGACGAUACAGGAGCCCAUGUAGGGGCUUCAUACAAAAAGGCAAACGAUGGCAGGCUCGUCAUGCAAGGAGGUUUCCGGAAGUAUGUCGAUCAGCUUGAGCUGAAGGAAGACGAUCUUGUGGUCAGCACGUUUCACAGCGCGCUGGGUCUCCACAACAGUACGGAUUUACAUCCUAUCUUAAAAUCUUAGUUUAUGUCUCCUAGAUGAGCGUGGCAAUGACUAUGUAUACAUAGAUGCCAUUUUACACGUGGGUGCAACUCCUCCAUGCAUGCUCUUUUGUGUACGUCGACAAUUUUUGAUUUGUAGCUCUUUCAGUGUGGUACGUGACUAUGUGCAAGUUUCAUCUACCAAUGGUCAUCUGAUGUGUUUUGAAUAUUCUGAUAUAAGCUUGUUUAGCUGUUCCAGUGUGUUUUUA